AAUGCGAGCCGAGAACAGCUGCGCGCCCGCCUCGCGUCGCGAACCCUGAGCUAGAGGAGCUUCAGAGACUGGAGGGACGGACCUGCAGGAGCCAGGGCAGCCCGCCGAGCUGCAGUUGCUGCUGCUGCCACUGUCACGCCGCCGCCGCCGUCGCUGUCGCUGUCAGUGCCCGUCUGAAGAGUGACAGCGCCGCAAAACGGGAGGGAGCACCGGAUCCCGCGCCUUUAUGAAACAGGUGCGUGCACCUGUCUCCUGGUGAGUGGACCCAGAUCGCAAGGUAGCCAUUCAUGAGCCCGAGGCUUUGAGAAAUGCUCGCUGUGCAAAGGGGAACUCUCACCAGAUUUUCUGAAGCUGUCCUAGAGAUACACUUUUCAGAUUGAUUCAGCAUUACCAGCUUAUCCAACAAAAGUAUUAACACAUACGUUAACAACGUCGAAAGUAGCCUACUUUAAGAGAAAAUAUGCAGAAGAAGAAGAUUUACAUCAAGAUUACCAUGGGUAUUUUCCAAAACACCUGAUACUGCCUGAGGACAGGACUUGCAUUCUCAAACUUUCUCUAGAGAAGCUCAGAUUUCUUGAAGACCCAGAAACCUACUUAAGAAGGUCUGUGUUAAUUAACAAUUUGCUGAGGAAGAUCCAUCUAGAGACGGAGAAAGAGAGCUAUGAAUACUUUAAAGAAGCUCCCUGUUAUAAGACUGCUUAUUCUGAUACAAGAAAACGGCUGAAGUUUAUGGUACAGGAAUGCUGUUCUCAGUCUCUCUAUUAUGAAGAGCUGCAUUCGUAUCAUAUUGUGCCUUAUGCUUCGGAGAAUGCCAUUUAUGGAAUGGGCUACACUAGCAGCCACUUGGAGCAAAAUUCUCAGUUGCUUAUUUAUAAAAUGAAUUAAAGUAACUGUUAAAGUCCAUUGAUACCUUGUUUCUAAAUGCCUGAACUGUUUAUAGUGAAGAUGUUAACAUAAGGCACUAAUUAUCAGUGCCCUUGAGAUCAAAGAUGAGAUGCAUGCUGAACUGAUUGGAGAGAACCCUGGUUAUUAUUUCAGCAGUCCUUACUAUCAUCCAGCCAAAUUGAAAAUAUGUCCACAUAUUAUAAAGUGGAGAAUAAGUGCUUUAGAAGCAAAGUGUUUUUUUAAAGAUAAGGUGUGUAGGAAGGGACCUAUAUUAAGUUCUUACACAGAUUUAAACAUUUCAAGCCCCCUAUUUCCAAAUGCUACCACUCUUAGUGGAAAGUAACAAAAAGUAACAGAUUCCGAUUAAACAAAUAAUGUCUUGUCCCUGAGGAUUAAGGGUGGACCGAAUUUAAUUUUCUGUAAAUGAUGAGAGGAAGGGUAGAUCCUUUCUGAAAUGCUUUGGCUUGUCAAGCAUUGAGCCAAACAAUCGACACCAUUCUCCUUUUACCAUUAGUGGCAAUUCAAGACGUGGCAAACCUACUGCAAUUUAACUGCUGAAUGUAACAACCAGAACACUCCACAUCGAUCCAUUUUACAUUAUUAUUAUUAUUUUUUUUUGGCUUCAUACAGUUUUCUCUUUCAAAGUGAAAUUUAAUAAAAUAGCCUUGCAGAUGGGCUUUUAUCUAAGUUCUAGGGGUCAGUUAAAAUUUGUGGUGGGCUUUUAGUUGAGUUUAAAUUUAUUUAUGAUGUCAUUUUUAUAGUCUGUGAAGCUCAGGAAAAGGGUAGGCAGGCAAUAUUUGAUUUUAAUAGGCAGGUACUUUAAAAAAUCUUAUCUGCAAAAACUGGUGAGAACAACAAAAAUUCUACAUGAUGUUAUUUCUUCAUCUAAGAGUUCAUUUAAGGCUGUCUGGAUGAAACUUUGCACUGAUUUUUGUAGAAUAGUCGACAAUCCACUAUUUGACAAAAUGUUUCAGAAUGCCUUUGGUGGUGAAGUUUAGAUAAGUUCCUAUAUUUUGCAAUUUGAAAGAUAAUUAUUUAACAAGUUUCAUAGAUUCCUGAAAUUGUUUGAAAUGGUUCGUGAUGUUCUCUGAGGUUUGAGUGAGAUGUCUGAUUUCAAUGUCCAGACUUACAUUCCAUGGCGCACAUCAUUUAAAGAAUUGUCAUUAACUGAUAAAACAGAUUGGAAAACUAGGUGCCAAAGCUAUAUUCAAGAAAAUACCAAAGACCCAAAGAUGAGUGUUAGAGAGACUAUGAUAAUGAAGAUAAGAAUCUAAAAUAAGGAUUGUACAGGGCAUAGAAGAACAGUGUUAAAGAGAUUUGGAACGAUUUGCUUACUAGUGUGCUUCCAGAGCACUUUAUACAUACAUAAUAAUGAUAGUCAAGGGCACCGCUUGGGCCUUCAGUGAUCAUAUGUUUUUGCAAAUCUAAAUAUGGUGACUUGUCAACAUUGUAUCUUCCCUCAUUGGAUGCCAUCUUGCAAACAAGAAGGCCUUUAUCUCUUAAAGAGAAUUUUGCUUUUAGUUUUGAUUCACUACUUGCUCCCUCUAAUGCAUCAUCAGGGUGAUUAACAUGGAUGCUUUCAGUAUAAAGAAUAUUGGUGCCCUAAUUAGCAUGCAUUGUUAAAGACCACAUAGAUAUAUAAUUGAUGAAAGUAUUGGUUUUCUAUUUAACUGCUCAAUCAGAAUUGGGAAAAAUGCUUUAGAACAAAUUGGAAAAUUAUAAUUGAGGGCUAAUUUUUAAGGUAAUUUAGUGUGAAUGGUGAGAUAGCUUUGCCGUACAAAUAUAAAUAUUUAAAAAUUAAUUUAAGGGCAAAAUUUGUCACCUAACUUCAAAAACUUUACUUCACUGCUUAUACCACACUUUAUUCCUCAGAAUGUGUUUAUUAAAAUGUAGAUUUCUUAAACAAUGGGAAUAUUAAUUGAAUAUACUCCAAAUGUGAUAGGAUAAUUAUUAUGUACUUUGAAAGAUAGAAUUAGCUCUCUAAUAGUUUAAAACUUUUUACGAAAAGGAACAUUUGGCUUGGUUUAGGACAGUGUCUACAAGAAAAACAUGCCAGUGCUAAUAGGUAUGAUUUACAAAUAUACCACAUAAUGAAAUUGUUUGAGGACAGAAAUGUGUAUACUUUGGGAUAGAAAAGAGAGGGAGAGAAAAAGUUUCCAAGAAAGUGUAAAAUUGUAAUAUUUACUGUAUGUCAGAAAUGUUAAAUCAGGAACUCUUGGACAAUGAACCCAUAACAGACAUAAAGUCUGUUUUAUUUGGUGACAUUAACUGAACUCUCUGAAUCUUACAUUCAUAUGUAGAGAAGGAACUGUCUUAGAAACCAGUGGUAUUUGUGAAUAUGCUUUUUUUUAAGAAAUAUGUGUUGAUUUCAAAACAGGUUAUUUAAAAAAUAUCUUUUAGAACAUUUAAUUUCUUUUCCAAUAAAUAAUUCAUAGACAAGGA